rnacentral:pre_miRNA from 1 species
AGUGGAAUUGCUAGGGCAUAUGAUAAGUCUAUUUUUAACUUUUUGAGGAACAACUGAAUUAUUUUUCAGAGUUGCUGCAUCAUUUUACAUUCCCACCAGCAAU